rnacentral:sRNA from 1 species
AAUACAAAGACUCCACGGAUAUGGAAGUUGGUGAAAUUCCAACACGGUCCCGCCACUGUAAGAGCAUCUGUAAGCUCAAGUCAGAUCUUUAUCCUUGGAUGCUCAUACGCAAGCAUACUAUUUCGAGGUAAAAUGGUAUUG